rnacentral:lncRNA from 10 species
GCCAAUUAAGCCUCUUUUCUUUAUAAAUUACCCAGUCUGAGGUACUUCUUUAUAGCACUGCAAGAAUGGACUAAUACGCUAUGUGAAGACAAAGGGGAUGUCUGCAAGCCAGGACGAGUGCGUCUACCAGAAACUGAGUUCUGCUGGACUUUGAUCUAGGACAUCCAGCCUCCAGAAUGGAAUGUGCCAUAUGUGGAGACCUGCAUGGAAAGGAACUGAGGAUGCUCUCUCACUAAAAGCUAGAAGGAACUGAGGCCCUCAGUCAACAGUCUACAAGACACUGAAUCUUGCCAGCAGCCAAGCAGUGAGCUUGAAAGCAGAUCUAUCAUCAGCUGAACCUUCAGAUGAGACCGCAGCCUAAGCAGAUACCUUGGUUGCAGCCAUGUGAGACAACCUGAAACAGAGGGCACAGCUAAGCCUCAGCCAGGUUCAUGACCCUCUGAGGAAACUGUGAGAAAGCAAAUGUCAUUUUAAGCUAUUUAAUUUUGGAGGUAGUUUAUUACACAACAAUAAAUAACUAUUAUAAUUAUCUUGAGGAUUUAUUUCCUGGGGAGAAUACAUGGAAUUGCAUAUAUAGGUCCUCAUAUGCAGAAUACUGGUACCCUAGAGAUGUUCACCCCAGAGAUGUUUUAGGAACCUGUGAAUAUGUUACAUUAAAUGGCAAAGUUUUCCUGGAUGGUUUAAGUUUAAGAUGGAAAAGUUUUACUGGAUUAUCCAGUGGGUCCAAUCUAGUAACAUGAGUCCUUAAAAAUGGAGAAUAUUUUUUGGCCAUGAUCAGAGAGACAUGUGAUGAUGGAAAAAGUGUCAGAGAUGCAAUGUGAGGGGACUAAAACUGCUGUUGCUGACUUUAAAGAUGGAGAGAGGGGAACCCGAGUCAAGGAAUGCAAAUGGCCUCUGGAAGCUGGAAAAAGCAAGAAAUGGAUUCUCCUUUAGAGCCUGUGGAAUAAAAUGCAGUCAUGCUGACACCUUGAUUUUACCUCAGUGAGACCAAUACUGGAGUAUGACCUUCGGAGCUCGCAAAGGCCACAUAAGGACAGUGAGAAGGCAGCCACCUGCAAGCCAGGAAGAAAGGUCUCACCAGAUACCAACCCUGCCAGCAUGUUGAUCUUGGACUUCCAGCCUCCAAAACUGGCCUUCUGCUCACAUGGGCUUCCGUGCACCUGCUUCAGGAGACAGCAACACUUGCGCCCGCACCGCGGCAGGCUCCCAUCACCUGGUGGAUAUGCCGCGCCGAGUCUCAUCACACCUUAGUGAAGGAACACAUGGACCCAUAUGUUAGCGGAUGUAUUUACAUCGUUUUAUACAGAAAGGGGAAAUGGAGUCUUGCUCUGUCACACAUGCUAGAGUCCAGUGGUAUGACCUCAGCUCACUGCAAUCUCUGCCUCCCGGGUUCAAAUGAUUCUUCUGCCUUGACCUCCCUGGCAGCUGGGACUACAGGCCUGCACCACCACGCCUGGCAAAUUUUUUAAUUUUUUUUAGUAGAGAUGGGGUUUCACCAUGUUGGCCAGGCUAGUCUCGAACUCCUGACCUCAAAUGAUCUGCCCGCUUUGGCCUUCCAAAGUUCUGGGAUUAUAGGAGUGAGCCACCAUGCCCAGCCUGUUCUUAAGUCUCCUAGAACAGGGAUUCUGAAACACAAAACUCAUCUGGUGAGAAGAAUGAGAGCAAGAGAGGUUAAAUGGGUCGUUCAAGUUCAUAAAGUACUGACAGAAGAUGACCCUGAACUGUUCUCACUAUAUUAAAAGUCAGACAAGUAUUAUUAUUAUUAUUACUAAUAUAAGUAGCUCCAAUUUAUGUGAUUCUCAUGAUUUGGAGGACCUUACCUAUAUUAGCUUAUUUAAUCUACACAGCAAACCUAGAUGGUAAAUAUUUUCAUUGCCAUUUUACAGAGGAGGAACUGAGGUUCCUGAGGGUUAGGAAACUUGUAACAUGAACUCCAUACAGAUAUACAGAAUGAUAUAAACAAAUAAACAAAUACAUAAAUGUGGAAGAAGUAAAAGCUCUUCCUUGGAGUAAAAGGCCACCUAAUAAAUGAGGCAGGAAUGAUAAAAUUAGAGAAAUCAUUUGCAAACAUCACAGUAUUAAUUGCUUAAAGGAAGAAUUAUAAAUAGAUAAUAAAGCUAGUGGGUGAAACAUUAAUGGGACUAAGAUAUUUAUCUAGCCCCAAAAGUUUUGCUCCAUAAAAAUACUUACUUAGGCUGGGCAUGGUGGUGCACACCUGUAAUUCUAGCACUUUGGGAGGCCGAGGUGGAAGGAUUACUUGAGCUUAAGAGUUCAAUGGCAGCCUGGACAACAUAGUGAGACCGCAUCUCUAAAAAAAAAAUUAGCCAGGUGUGGUAGUGCGUGUAUGUAUUCUCAGCUACUCAGGAGGCUGAGGUAGAAGGGAUCGCUUGAGCCCCAAGUUGAGGCCACAGUGAGCUGAGAUUGCACCACUGCACUCCAGCCUGGGUUACAGAGAGUGAUCCUGUCUCAACAAUAAAAUAAAAUAAAAUGAAAAAAAUAUUUAUUACAAAUGAAAAAAAUGACAUGUUUACACUGGAGAGGCCUACAGGCAUCAUCUUAACCAAUGAUCAAAGUUAAUAUCUACACGAAUAGGACAAAUAAUAUCAUUUCCCUCCUGACCUCAUGCAUGUUUAAAACACAACAUAACUUCUUGGUUAUUUCUGUCAAGAGUGCAUAACCUGAAACUAAUCAUAAGAAACCACCAGAUGACCCCACGAUGAGAGGUAUACUAAAAAAUAACUAAGCUAUUAUUUUAUUUUAUUUAUUUUUUGAGACAGAGUCUUGCUCUGUUGCCCAGGCUGGAGUGCAGUGGCGCAAUCUCAGCUCACUGCAACCUCAGCCUCCUGGGUUCAAGAGAUUCUCCUGCCUCAGCCUCCCAAGUAGCUGGGAUUACAGGCUUCUUUUUGUAUUUUUAGUAGAGAGGGGGUUUCACCAUGUUGGCCAGGCUGGUCUCAAACUCCUGACCUCAGGUGGUCCACCCACCUCGGCCUCCCAGUUUUGGGAUUAUAUGCGUGAGCCACUGCACUCAGCCACCAGACUUUUUUUUUUUUCUUUUUACUUUUUUUGAGACAGCAUCUCCCUCUGUCGCCCAGGCUGGAGUGCAAUGGCACAAUCUUGGCUCACUGCGACCUCCGCCUCCCAGGUUCAAGUGAUUCUCCUGUCUCAGCCUCCUGAGUAGCUGGAACUACAGGCGCCCGCCACCACGCCCGGCCAGUUUUUGUGUUUUUAGUGGAUAUGGGGGUUUCACCAUGUCGGUCAGGCUGGUCUCGAACUCCUCACCUCAGGUGAUCUGCCCGACUCAGCCUCCCAAAGUGCUGGGAUUAUAGAUGUGAGCCAUCGUGCCUGGCCUAUUUUGAAAGCAACAUAUAAUCCAACUUUUUCUUUUGUUAUAAAGAGCAAUAUAGGAACAAGGAGUGAAACACCAAGGCAAUUUGACAGUUAAAUGGUAGAAGUAGAUCAGUGUUAAUUUCCUGAUUUUGUAAUUAUACUGUGGUUAUGUAACAGAAUGUUCUUGUUUUAGAAAGUACACAUUGAAUAAUCAAUGGUCAUCUUGUCUGUAACUUAAUUUCAAAUGUUUCAAUAAAAAUAUGUGUAUGUUUGUGAGUGAUAAAACAAAU